rnacentral:rRNA from 1 species
UACGUAGGGUGCGAGCGUUAAUCGGCAUUCCUGGGCGUAAAGCGUGCGCAGGCGGUUUUGUAAGACAGAUGUGCAAUCCCCGGGCUUAACCUGGGAACUGCAUUUGUGACUGCAAGACUAGAGUGCGGCAGAGGGGGGUAGAAUUCCACGUGUAGCAGUGAAAUGCGGAGAUAUGUGGAGGAAGACCGAUGGCGAAGGCAGCCCCCUGGGUCGACACGGACGCUCAUGCACGAAAGCGUGGGGAGCAAACAGG